AGAAAGAAGUCACAGUUUAUUCAGAAGGCAGAGGCAGGGGGACAGAAAUUUCAAGGCCUACCUAAGUAACUUACUGAGACUCUAUCUUUAAACUAAAAGCUAAACAGGAGGAGAGAGAAGCUAGAGACGGAAAGCAAAGUGCUUAACUAGAAUGAUGGGGCCCUAAUGUCCACUCACAAGGACUACAAAAAAAUUUGUUUUUAAAUAAAAUAAAAUCUCUGUGAGAUCCACAGAUUACAGUCUCCACCAGGCAAGAUCUCCUGGUCCAGCAUUCAUCUGACAUUAUAGGUACGUGCCCCUUGCCCAAAGUCAGCCACUAGAUGGCAGUAUGACAUGCCAAGCACUCGGGAAGAUUCCUUAACAUGCCCUGUAUCUGUUAGCAAUUUGCUAUAGCAGUGCUGUGUAACAAACUGAACCUUGUUUCCCCUGACAUUUCUGAGGAUUGAGCCCAAGGAGUUGGACAUGUUAGGCAGGUGCUCUGCUGCUGAGCUAUGAUGCCCUGCCUUCAAGCCCCUUGCUAAGGGAUUCUAUUUGGGAAAAAGAUGCUUUUCUUUCUUUCUUUCUUUGGUAGCAUCUGCUCUGGGGGCACAUGGAGGGCCAAGAGAAGUUUGAGGAGAUCAGUUCCCUCUUUCACCAUGGGUGUUCUGGGAGCGGAACUGGCACCGUGGAUUCUUGGCAAGCACUCUGUUGCUAGGCCAAGCCCCAGCCCCUUAUUGGUGGAUUCUAGACAAGUGCUCCACACUGACCUGUCUCUAGUCUCUUUCAAAUUUGGAGACAGAGUCUUGCUCAGUUACCCAGGCUGGCCUUGAAUUCAUUCAUUCUAGCCCAUACAGGCCUAGAGCCUGGGAUCCUCCUGCCUCAGCCCCACAGCAGUUGGGAUGAAAGACUUUAACUCUGCAGUCGAUGUGAGCAGGUAAGUGGCUUGGUGGAUUUUACAGGGUUCUUCCCCACCCUCGGAGUUUUGAUAGGGAAGGCAGUGACAGCCUCAGGUGGUGGCUCAUCCUGUGGUCAAAUGCUGGGAUCAUUUUCACAAGUGAGGUGAGAGCCCAAGCAAACAAAUAAGCAAGAGCACAGAAAGUCAGAGCUGGGGAUAUAGCUCAGUGGGUAGAGUGCUUGCCUAGCAUGCUUGAAGCCCUGGGUUCAAUUCCUUGCAUUGCAUAGAUGGGGUGUGGUGGUGCAUGCCUGUAAUCCCAGCACAAGGUGGUGGAGGCAGGAGGAUCAGGUCAAGGUCACUGGGGUCAGACUGAGCUACACGACUCCUUAUUUCAAUCAAUCAAUCAAUCAAUCAAUCAGUCAGUCAAUCAUUACACACGAGUUUCUGGAGGUUGAUGAAGGCUUUGAUCUCUUUGAUCAUCUUGCUUAUUUUGCUUUAUAUUGUGAAACCGAGUAGCCCAGCCAGCCAGGCAGAGCUGCAACACCCACACUGCACAGAACGCGAGCUGCGGGAUGUGGUGCAGGCAGCAGUGUUAAAGUCAUUCUUGGCUACAUAAUGAGUUUGAGGCUAGCCUAGGCUACAUAUGAGACCCUUUCUCAACACAACAAAGCUGGUGAUGUGACUCAGUGGGUAAAGGCACUUGCUGCUAAGCCUGAGUUUGAUCCCUGGGCCCGUGGUACACAUGGUAGAAGAAAGACAACUGACUCCUGAAACUUGUCCUCUGACCUUUACACGAACACCACAGCACACCAGUGCACACAUGCACACAUACACACCCGUGCGUGCACACACACAAAUAAAUACGCUAAUGAAUUAUUGAAAGGUGUUUAUAGAAACAAUGACAAAAUUCUAUAUGGUCCCCAUCCUGCCUGGAUCCAGCAUUGGUCCAGAAUGUCACCGGAUGACUUCCGGGUGGCAUGUCUCUCUUAUCUGUUCACCUGUGAGUUGUCUCUCUUGCAGCAGACAGCAGUGAGCUGUGCCUGCCUAGCAACUGCUCACUCUUCUGUUUGAAAAAGCCCGCUGUAUUCUUUAGAAUAUUAUCCCUCCCCUACUCCCAGGCCAUAGAGCUGAGUGGGUACAGAAGUCUCACAUCUGGCUGGGUGGCUCAGAGACAGACAGCUCAUGACUCAAGUCUAGACAGUUUGCUAGGGGAAGUUUCCUUUUUUUCUGGCUGCGGUGUAUGAACAAAGCAGGGAGAACCUGCGGGGAGUGUCUCAGUGUCCGGCCAAAAGAUAAGAGAAACUUGCUAUGUGUAUCUCUUUGUCCCUGGAUACAACCAGGCCUGAAGAACACAUCUGGGUUUAACAGAUUCAAAGGCACCACGUUCCCCUUCUACUAUAAAAAUGCCAAUGCCUUGACCUAGGCUGGCUCUGGACAGACGCUCGGUGUUUCUAACAUGCUCUCUGCAUAAAUGUAUCUGCCAAUACUUUUGACAGGUGCCACAUACAAUGUUGGGUAGAGACACCGCAUGUGUCAGUAUCUCUGAGUUUUCAUUCCCCAUGUCUUAUGAAGGUUCUGCCCCAGAACCAGUGUGAGAUGCUGUGUGUGACAGUAUGUGUCCCCUCCCCAUUCCUCCCCCAAAUGACGAAGGGUGGCCGCAGCCCCGUGAGCUCCAGGAAUUGACCUACUCCUCACCAAUAACAGUGACAUCAUCGUUUAGCCCCAUUCGGCUUUUCCCCAUAGUGACACCAGGUGACGUUUACUAAGUAGCGCGCUUCAUGUGUUUACAGAUUUCAUUUUGUUUUCUUUUCACAACCCUCUGGGGUGGAUUUUGUGAUCUCCUUUUUACAAAUAAAAGUCUGAAACUC
rnacentral:lncRNA from 1 species